rnacentral:rRNA from 1 species
UACGAAGGGGGGCUAGCGUUGCUCGGAAUGACUGGGCGUAAAGCGCACGCAGGCGGUCUGCUAAGUUUGGAGUGACAGUUGGUGGCUUAACUGCCAAAGUGCUUCGAAAACUGACAGACUUGAGGGCUUCAGAGGGACACGGAAUUCCGGGUGGAGUGGUGAAAUGCGUAGAGAUCCGGAGGAACACCAAAGGCGAAGGCAGUGUCCUGGGGAGUACCUGACGCUCAGGUGCGAAAGCCAGGGGAGCGAACGGGG